rnacentral:lncRNA from 1 species
CUUCUGAUUAUUUUUUUUUUUCUUCCGCCAAAUUUUGUUCUUGCGAUAAACAUUUGUUUCGCAAUAUGUCGCUUAGAUAUUUGGUAUAUGAUAUCGAACAAGUUAUGCGCUUUUGAAAUUUACCCUGCGUAACCGAAUACUUUUCUUUGUAGGAGUUAUCUCCCCAAACACUGUUUUCCUUGUGAUCACAACUCCUUCGCAACCGUACAAGAUUACGACAAAUUUAUUUUAUAAAAUUGCUCGUUAUAUCCUUCGCAUGAUUUGUCCAAUUUCGACCGAAGCAAUAUGAACGCUCCAUAUGAGAGUUAUUUC